GGGGGUUGAAAACUGCUCCCUAAAUGAGCUAAGGCAUCUCCACAUUGGUUUUUUUCUUGAAAAAUAUGCUUCAACGAACUAGCAAUCAAAGAUAGGCAGAGCAUCUUGCAAUCAUCAAUUAAGGAGCAAGAAAGAAGUUAGCAACAUUAACAUUAGAUAAGAGAUGUAUAACAGAGGUAGCAUCAACUUCAAUCUCAGGGUUAUCUAAGCUAAG
rnacentral:lncRNA from 1 species